GCGAGUCAAAGACGCUCACACAGGCUGAGUCGCCCUCGAGGAAAAGAAAAGUGCCUUCACAGCUUUGUGGGCCGACGAGUGAUGGGGACGGUCUUCAAGAAGCACCUGCACAGACAACGGACAUUUGAUUUGUCUUACGUGACGGAGGGACGGGUUUCCUCGUUGGGCAGGCAUCUAAAUGCUUACGCAUUUGGGCUUGCACCGACACCACAGAAGAUGAUUAUCAAACUCGUUGCGUCGUCCUCAAUUUAAGCAGAACCCUUCUUGUGAGCCUCCAGGUUUCUGCCCCGUAGGUGAUUAAUG